GGAGAGGAAAAGAUAUCGAACCUGCAACACCAUGGAUUGUCCCCUGAAUUCCCGAGACUUCCGAGAAGUGCAGUGUGCUGAACACAACGACCUUCCUUUCCGCGGGAAGAGCUACGAGUGGAAACCAUAUACUGAAGGUGUUGACCCCUGUGCCCUGACCUG